AGUAACGCGUAAAGAACUUGCCCUUUAGACUGGGAUAACAGAGGGAAACUUCUGAUAAUACUGGAUAAGUUAGUAUAUCGCAUGAUAUGCAAAUGAAAGCUACGGCACUAAAGGAGAGCUUUGCGUCCUAUUAGCUAGUUGGUAAGGUAAGAGCUUACCAAGGCGAUGAUAGGUAGCCGGCCUGAGAGGGUGGACGGCCACAAGGGGACUGAGAUACGGCCCUUACUCCUACGGGAGGCAGCAGCU
rnacentral:rRNA from 1 species